CAGUCGCCGCGGUAAUACAGAGGGUGCGAGCGUUAAUCGGAUUUACUGGGCGUAAAGCGUGCGUAGGCGGCUUUUUAAGUCGGAUGUGAAAUCCCUGAGCUUAACUUAGGAAUUGCAUUUGAUACUGGGAAGCUAGAGUAUGGGAGAGGAUGGUAGAAUUCCAGGUGUAGCGGUGAAAUGCGUAGAGAUCUGGAGGAAUACCGAUGGCGAAGGCAGCCAUCUGGCCUAAUACUGACGCUGAGGUACGAAAGCAUGGGGAGCAAACAGGAUUAGAUACCCCUGUAGUCCCUGUCUCUUAUAA
rnacentral:rRNA from 1 species